rnacentral:tRNA from 1 species
GGUCUCGUGGUGUAACGGUUAUCACUCUGGACUCUGAAUCCAGCGAUCCGAGUUCGAAUCUCGGUGAGACCU